ensembl:lncRNA
ACCCACUCCGCUCCCGCUGCGGGGCCGGCACAGUGCGGCGCAACGCUCGCUUGGUGACCGGCGCCGUGGAUCUCCGGGCAGGGCUGCGGCAUCCCGACAGGAUGCCCUCCCCGAGCCCUGGCGCAGAACGUUCUGCGGGACAACCCUGUCAAGAGGGUCCUCGGGACGGGAGGGGCGGGGAAGCAAGCUGAGGUACGCCGCACAUCCUGGAGAUCAGAAUUGCUUCCCAAGUGUUUUCCAGUGUAACGUCCGGCUUCCAGCGAUUUGCGGGAAUUUGUCUCCUUUCCCUCCCCUUUUGCGGUGCUUUAUGCCGGAAACAGAGAGGUGUCUGAGGGGCUUGUCUGACCCUGUGAUCCACUUUGCAGGACUACGGUUCAAACGAGAGCCGUGCUUCCCUCCUGGCAUCCGCUCCCCAGGAAGCGGGACGCACCCGUCGCUGCACGACCAUCCUGCAGUCCUUCCCACCGUGGCGGUGCCGACGCUCUGGCACCGCCUGGGUUUGGAGCUCUCUGAGCCGUGGUGCUGGGUGUUUUGACUGUGGGAAUGCUAGUAAACCUGUUCACCACAGUGCUGUAAUUGCCUCUACUGGUGGCGUUAGGCAAUGAAAUCAGACAGUGGUGAGAGAUUUCCUCUGGACGUUCAUUUCAACCUCUGUAGAAAUUCUCUUCAGACAAAAUGGAGAUCAUAGGAUCAUAGAAUUCUUAGAAUUGGAAGGGGCCACCGAAGGCCAACUCUCCUGCAAUGAACAGGGACACCAAAUUUCUGCCUUUAUAAUUAGCAGUGAUAAUGUUUCUUACAGGAUCUCUCUAAAUCAUACUUGAUUGCUACGAACUCUUAAAAUUAGUCCUGUUCAUUAGGAGAGAGGUAAAAGAAUCUAGAAAGUAACUGCAGAAAAGGCUCUGGGGGUCUUGCUGGACACCAAGUUGAACAUGAGCCAGCAACGUGCCCUUGCAGCAAAGAAGGCCAAUGAUAUCCUGGGCUGCAUCAGGAGUAUUGCCAGCCAGCUGAGGAAGGUGAUCCUUGGCCUUUGCUCAGCACUUGUGAGGCUAUACCUAGAGUUCUGUGUCCAGUUCUGGUCUCCCCAGUAUGAGGAACAUUAUGAAGAGAGCUGAAGAUGAUGGAGAUCCUGGAGCACUCCUCCUCUGAGGAAAGGCUGAAAGAGCUGGGAGUGCUUAGUCUGGAGAGAAGGCAGCUCAGAAGAGGUCUCACCAGUGUCUGUAAAUACCUACAGGGAGGAUUUGGAGAAGACAGAACCACUCUAAUAGUGUGCAAGACAACCUUCUAACAGUGCCAGGACACUUCAUAAAUGUGCCAGGACAAAAAGCACUGGGCAAAAAUUGGAAUACAGAGGGCUCCAUCCAAACACCGGGGAGCACUUCUGUGCUGUGCAGGUGAUGGAGCACUGGCACACGUCACCCAGAGAGGCUGUGGAGUCUCCUCCUUGGAGAUCUUGGAGAAGCUGCCUGGACAUGGGCCUGAGCAGCUUGCUCUCAGUGUCCUGCUCUUGAGCAGGAGUUGGACCAGGUGGACCAAGAAACCCCUACCAGCCUCAAACAUUCAGUGGUUCUGUUAUUCUGGGAUGUGAUAAUUUAGUAGAAUCAUAGAAUGGUUUGGAUUAGGGUUGGAAAGGACCUUAAAGAUCAUCCAGUUCCGGUUCAUAGCAGGGGGGUUGGGCUACCCAGGGUUCCAUCCAAUUUGUCUUUGAACAUUUCCAGGGAUGGGGCAUCCACAGCUUUUCUGGUCAGCCUGUGUCAGCGCCUUGCCAUCCUUUCAGUAAAAAUGUUCUUCCUUAUAUCCAGUCUAAAUCUACCCCUUUUUAGUUUUAAAACCAUUGUCCCUCGUUUUGUCAUUACUGGCCCUGGUAAAACAAGCAAUCAAACAAAAAACAACACCCUUUCUUCACCUUUCUCAUAGGCCCCAUCCGAAUACUGGAAAGCCACAGUCAGCUCUCCUUGGAUCCUUCUCUUCUCCAGACUGAACAAGCGCAACUCCCUCAGCCUUUGUAGGAGAGGUGCUCCAGUCCUCUAGCUACCUUCAUGACCCUUCUCUGGAUUUGCCUUUGUAGAUCCUUGUCUCUUUUGUUCUGCAGCUCCUGGAGCUGGAUGGGCCAGCCCUUGUAGGUUCGGUCAGUAUGUGGGAACAAGUAAGAAACAGAGGGUUUAAACACAUUAAUUUCCUUUCAUAAUUUUGGCUGCUGUUAAGUAAUAUUUUUGUACUGGUUCUCGUGUGUUCACCAGUGGAAGGGGCUGGGUUCUGCAGCUCACUCCCUUAAUGCUUUCAGGUUUUCAAAUAUCAAUUCAUAACCUUAACGAAAAAGACAGAUGCAAAAUGAAUGUGCCUGUGCUUGCGCAUAUCACAUUAUCACACAUUUCACAUUAUCAGAAAUCAUCUCUGGUCACAAGAGAGAGACUAAAAGGGCUUAUUUUGCCCUUAAUCCAUCCCUUAGUCCCUCUGUUUUUCUAGAUGAGAUACCUUGUUCUAGAAAGUUUCAUCUCAGAAAGAUAUAUUCUAAAAUAACAUGCUAGAAGAUCUUGUUUUGUGUUCUGUUUGUACCUACACUUACCCCUGUUUAGUAAUAGUUAGGUCAGAGCAUAGUUCAGGCCGAUGAAAUGCUUUUCUCCUUAAGUCAACCAUCUACCUUCAUGGUCACUCUUUUUUUUUUUUUUUAAUGCUUGUUUUAGAGUUAGCCUUCAGUGAGAUAAAGUAAAAUAUUUUUAGUCAGUUUUAUUUGGUAAUCAAUUCUGACUUGACUGAAUUAAGCUAAAGUUUGCGGCAAGUCAACAAAGCUAACUUUAUUUUAUAUAUUUAAUUAUUUUACUGGGAGAGCCAAGGAGGUUUUAGAUAUCUUGAGAAGCAAAUGGACAAUUAAACUCUACAGAAAUUCAAAAUUGCCUGCUGAUUCUCAGUGCUAAGCAAACAUAAGCUCUAAUUUCUCUUCUUUUUUUUUCCUGAUAUUCUGUUCCUGUGCUCACACUCAGACAUUUAGAUCUUCAUACACAGAAGCACUUGGUUUGUAUAUCUACCUAGAUUUUGGGCCCUGCUAAGAACACCAAGGCAGCUGUAGCCACGCCACCAAGCCCAUCUUGCUGCCUGUGACAGUGGCCUGGGGAAGGACUUGACACCCCCUACAAACAUUUUCCAGACCUUUGGCUUGUUUGCAGCUUGGAGGCUCUCUGAUACUUUCGCACUUGUUUGCAAAAUGCCAACGAGCCCAGAGACCAGAGUUCAGAUCUCACCUAGACCCAAGUCAGUGUUCUGAGGAUAAGGCUUACUCAUUCAAAGUCAAAUGGCUUAAUAAAGGAGGGUGGAGGCUAUGUUCUCCAGACUGCCUGAGCACUUGGCUCCAAGCUGAGAGCUGUGGGUACGAAUCCCUGCUGGAAAUCUGGACCUGCAGUGCUUUCAGCGCUGAUCUGCUGGAGUCAGCCACACCUUGCAGCACCUCAGAGAUGGGUCCGAGCCUGGGCCUAGCUGAAUUUCUUCUUGGUUGCCUAAAAUGUGAUUCUGUACUCAGUGGACUCAUUUUGACAGCCUUUCCAAGGCUGUCAGUACAAGGCAAACAAAAUCAUGCCUUGCCCUUGAUUCUGAGAUGGUUGAAUUGCAGGUCAGCUCCAGUGUUGGGCUAUUAUCACAGUGCUAAAUUUGAUCUGGUGAGUCCUGCUGGGGUAAAGAGGAUAUUAGUUCAUGCUCACUCUGCUGACGUGGCUGCGCAAUUUCUGGUCAGCAGUACAAGAAGCACAAGAGCGAGGCUGUGUAGCAUAGCCUGAGGUAUCUAACUCUUCUGUCAUGACGUAUGAAGCCUAAAGUGCAUACCUCAGAGCUCUAGCUCCCACACGUCUAUGAGAAGUGUGCAGAUAUAGUCACAUACAUAGCAUGAUGCGUCACCAUUGCCUCAGUAAUCUGCAAAGCAGGUUAUUGUCAAAGCUAAUGUUCAGGGCCAAGAGAGUUGUCACUGCGGUUACUUACACUGAUGCAUGCACCAGAGAUCUGUCUUUUCUUUUUCUUCCUUUUUUUUUUUUUCUUUUUUUUUUCUUCCCAUAGUCACCACAUAAUUUCCACCCAGUCUUCUCAAAUCUUAAUGCUCUGUUCAAAUACGUGCUUUGUGUGCCUCUGGUUUCACCAUGGUGGAUUGUCAUGCGUGGCAGCACUGCAGACUUGUGUAGUUGAAUGUGUAGAGAAAAAGCUGUAAAGAGAACAGAAAAAAGCAUGAACAACGAUGUCAGUUAGUAGAAUUUAAUUAUAACUUAGAAGCAAAGCUAGUUGACUGAGCUUGUGUUAAAAGGGUUUGGAGAACCAGGUGAUCUAAUAGCUCUUUGAUUUUUCAGGUAAGAAACUAGUGAAGGACGUGAUUCUCUUAAGAGCACGUGCUCCUCCUCUUCACUGUGGCUAAUUUUGUAUCUCUGUGACUAUUUCUAUGUAUUUUGCUUGUCUGAAAUCUACUGACAACAGUAAUUAGGUGAAUACUACUUUUUUUUUUUCUUGGUGCGUGUGUUACAAAGGGCAAUACUGAAUCAGAGAGAAGACAUAUCUUGCUAAGGUUCUGAGCUCCAAGAGUAAGUCAAAGACUUCAAGAUUAGCUAUUUAUGUGCUACUUGGACUUUCAAGUAACCUUUUUUUCACUCAGAAGGGCAGUUAGGCCACCAUUAUGUUGUUCUAGCUGACUCCAAACCCACUUAUCCACUUCAAGGUAUGAAAUGAUCAAAUCUUAGAAUGAGUGCAGCAGUCAAAACACCAAGUUUUUGGUGUCUCUACUCUGCUCAAAUAAUGGCACUGACGUUUUAAAUGAAAUAGUUUGACAGCUAUGAAGGUUUGUUUUUCAGGUGGAGCAGCUUAGCAGGGUAGCUGCAAGGGAAUUUUGCAGGAUGGAUCAGAGAGUAGUACUUCCAGCACCAAGGCCAUCUGCUGGUGUUGUCACUGUAAUACUGUCUGAGGAGCAACUAUCGUUACUACAGAUAUAUAGUAUGAAAUAAUCUUACUGUUAAGGAGAGAGAGACAGAAGAAAACUAUUAUUUAGGCUUGCUUAAUUUUUGAAGCUCCCCUCAACUUUUUGAGCUUCAGCCUUACCCUGACAAAGAAACUCCCAUCACAGCUGUAUGUGAGUCAGAAGUCCGGGUAUAUUUAGCUAAUGCUUGUAGAAGUUGCGCCACCUGGAGCCAGUUACACAGAACGGAAAAUACCAAAUGUUUUCUAAUGACCUGUGAUGAAAACAUACAUUUUGCCUGUCCAAGUAAAGCUUGAAGACAGCAAAGCGUGUUCCUGCUGCUUGCAAGAAGAGAAUUAUAAUAAAAUUAGCACUUUGUCGCUGCCAGCAUUUCAUAUGGAGUUCUUUAUAAAUAUUCAUAUAAAUGACCCAUCUUGCUAAUUAAGUAGUUGUCUCUAUACAGAGAAUGGUACUUCGUGGUAUGCAAUGGGUGUUAAUCUCCCCCCAGAAGUUAAGUACAAGGCGCUUUUAUGGUCUGUGAUCUUAACUGUGCUAGGAGCUUCAUUCAGAUACAUAACUUGUCCUGCCUAGAAUUCAGAGUAAGAUCAAAUGAUAAAGGUCAACCUCAGUAAACAUUUGCCCAUAGAAAUGGCAUUAAAUAGCUAUGGUGUUCCUCCUCAUAUCCAUCAUGCUGUGUUUUGUGGAAGACUGAACUGAAAUUCAAUUUGCCUGUUGAUGUUUACACCAGCAGCUGUUUUGAGAAUUUCAGCAUUCAUUUCAUCAAGCAAGUAAAUAUUUACUACUCUGUUUCUCCCAAAGCAGCAAUGGCUAUUAAAUGAUAACAAAAGAAGUUGUGGUAUUUGUGCAGAAAUGAAUAAAUCUCCAAUUUUUCUCCCAGGAGUCACCUGACGAGGCAGAAAAAGUGAUUAAAUGUGCAUUUAAGCAUAUUUACAUGGAUGCACACCUUUGAGAAGCCUACUCUGUGGUAGUUAAGAAUCACAGAUGUUGAUUGCAGUGCCUACCUUGUUCUGUUACAACUGCUAUUUCUGUUGACAAAAAAGUGUGCUGUACCAGAGAAAGUCCACAGAGAACAGUAAUACUCAGCAGGUGCCAAUAAGGACAGAAUCGGAGAGCUAAUUUAAUCUGCUUCUCAGGUUGCUGAAGGUAGCAGCUGGAAUUCCACUAAUUAUCUCCUUCCCAUCUUAGCUUAUAAAGUAAGUGCACCUUAUGGAAUAAGUAGAAAGUAUUCAUUAUUUCCAACAGAUGAAAAUUAUGUUUUAUCCUAAACAAUUGUUAAGAGACCCCAAGCGUGCAUAGUUGCCACUGAGAAGUUUAUAUAUGGGAAAUAACAUGGAGCGUAUUCACUUUGUUAUACUUACGUGUCGAGAUACAAACCUUAGUUUUAGGGGAUUUCAAUCCACUGUUCUUGUAACUACAUUUUUUUUUUUCUUUUUUAAAUCACGUUUAGUUAUCAUAAAGACCUUUGGUUUCAGUCAGAUUGUUUAAAAGAGACCGCUACACUUAAUAACUGAUAUUAUUUUGUGGUGGAAUAAUCUGUCCUCCAAGAACGUAAAAGAUGUGGAAACACUCUCAUAAAAUAUAAUGCCAGUUCAAGCCAGUAUUUCUCUUCUUAUGAGUGGUGAAUACUGGAAGAAUGACAAACACUACUGGCCUUAUCUGGAUCACAGUACUGUUGAUCUAAAUCACAUAUACAGUGCCCUCCAGUUGUGUUAGGUAUGCAGGAAUGCAGAGCCUCUUAGCAGUGGUUAAAGUCCUCCCUUUGGGAAACAGCUCCCUCAAGAAUUCUCUCAAAGCCUGGCACAUACAUUCCUGGGCAGUUUUUCUGUAGUCACCAUGUCCGUUGAUCUCUUGAUACCAUCCGAUGGAUUUGGGUUGUUUAUCCAACUAGUUCUGUGUUUGCAUAAUGUUUUCACCACUUCCCAGGAUGAUUUGAACCUCUGUGAAAAUGUGGUACAAUCCUCAGAAUUUACUUAAUAUACCAGGCAUCUCACGUUAACAACCUUUUUGUAGUGUUGCACAAUAGAUAUACAAUGCAAUUUAUUUUUAGGCAGUACAAAUAAGAAAAUAAUAAGCAUCGUUCUUGAUUAUUUUAUUUAUUUUUUUAAUUUAAAUUUUUUUCUCCCCAGAAAGAGCAUAUAGUAAAAAAAAAGAAGUCUACUAGGACAAAUAGAAAAAAGGGGCCUAGUUCUCCAAAUUAUUCCCUUAAGUUAUUCUGUUACUACCUGCCAUUCUGGCUGCAAUCAGUUUCAGAUGAAGUCAAUAGCCAAAGAAAUACCACAAAUUAAUUUAUUGAUGACAUUCUUGUUCACUGACUGAUGUUAAUUGACCAUCAAAAGAAUAAAUGUAUGGAAUCCUCAGAAGAAACAUAUCUGUUUAAUUUCAGUUUUCUUAUUUCUCUUCGAAAAUACAUGAUAUCUUACAGCAUCAGCAGAAGGUGGGCUUCUUUUCUCAUACUUACUUUAGAGAUAGUCACUGAAAGUGAAAUAACUUGUGAUGUGAUGAACUCCAUUACACCCUGGGUAUUGCUGCUGGUGAGUGGAUGACUUACAGGAUUAUUAACAGAGUCAAUCUCCUGAUGAUCCAAGCAGACAUUUUUAUUUGCUAACAAAAUGCAGUAAUGGAAAGAACUAUGAGAAAGCUGGAGGAAUUUGCCUAGUGGCUAACAGGACUUGAGCAUACACCUUAAACUUAUUUUAUAGAGGUAGUGCAAUAAAUAAGUAAAUAAAUAUACAUAUAUACAUAUAUAUAUAUCCUAGCAUAUGUUCAUAUUUGACCAAAAGCUAUUUUCAGGUUAUGGUAUUUCUCAUUUGGGAAAUGAAGGUACUUGCAAUCCACCAUCCCCUGGUCUCUGAGAAGUGACCCAGGUAAAUAGAUACUUAAGACCAUAUAAAAUUUAUCUUGGACUGCCAGAAGAGUUAGCAGAUGAUCAUGAUAUUCAUUCUGUAUUGUGCUCUCCUGAGGAAUCUUCAAAUAUUUGAAGAGCAAAGCAUGGGAAUCAUGAUUUCCUCCCUUGCUGAAAGUAACUACCACUUCACUGUAACAAAGAAAAGUCAAUUCUCAAGCAGCACAGAAAUGUAGGGCAAGAACUAAGGAAUACUUUUUAUACAGUUGCAGUGAUAUGUUGAGAGUGUAACUAUUUAUAUUGGAAUUUAAAGAGGAGAUUUCAAUUACCAAUCCUUCUUUAUGAGAACUACAAUGGCCACUUUUUAGCUGCUGUGUAUGUAUUUUAUGAUUCUAUAACAGUUCCUCUUCAAUGACAACUGAACAGCAUUUCCUAAGCCUGCAGAUUUUUAAUUCCAACUGGUUUUAUUUUGACCACUGUGGAAUAAUGCUGCUUUUUGAAUCAUCCAAGUUAGUUUUCAGAAAGGUCUACAUAAUCUCUCAAAGGUUUCUUUCUUUCUUUUUUUCUUUUUUUUUUUUGUCUGACUACAGAUCAGACCCACUGCAACUCAGCUUAUGAGAUGCUAUUAAACUGGUAUUGCUGGAAGAUGCUUUUAUAUGACACAAACAAACAAACAAACAAACACUGUAUGUUCUUUUUCCUGAUGCGUGCAUAUGGCUGGUUCUGCAACACUGCCAUGCUGUCUUUGCUAGGACAGAGAGUGACUUUUACCUCCUAACCUUGAUGUGCACAUUGUUUUUUUUUUCCUCAUGCUUUCUCUGCCUGCAGCCUGAUGCAUAUAUAUCCAUCCUGCUUCAUUCCACCACUCCUUUCUAAGCCAGCAGCCUAAUAAUGAAGCUCUUCAUGAGACUGUGAAGCCAGUACCAGCAACAAUGAGUCUUCAUUAUUCCUGGAGAAGACUGGGGUGUUUGAUAUGCAUGAAGCUUUGUGCAGAUAGCUACGACUAUAAACUGCCAUUUGUUACUGUCAAACAAAUAAGUGUUACAACUAUUUAGAAGUGUUGCUCUUCUCUAGCAAGGGAUUUAUACUUGAAAAAUAAAACAAAAACUAAUUAGUACCUUAUCUUUUUUUUUUCCACCGAAAUGAAUGGAUUUUGGCUGAUGAACGGAAAUCUUGUUCCCUGUUACUGCUUACUCAAUGGGGUUGGAAAUGAUAAAGAAUUGGAUUGAUAUAAGUAACUGAGAUACUUACCUGUGACCUGAGACCUAGUCUGACGAAUCUUUUAGCUAUUUGCACAUAGAUACCAUGUUUGUAAA